UAAGAAUUAAUUAAAAAAUAAUAUAAACUUGUCAUGUUUAAAUUGGGCCUCCAUUCUUAA
rnacentral:tRNA from 1 species